AACAAAUCAGUGAUCUGUGAAUUCGUAUUUUUCUUUUUUUGUCUUUCAAUUCAGGUGCUUUACACUUGUCCUCUCCCAGCAUUCAGCACUUCAGACACUCAACACCCCACCCAGACGACAGCCUUACCCCGACCUGAUGAGAAGGAUGGAUGACCAAAGGACAAACUGGAGAGUGGAGCUGUUUUCCAACUAUGGCAGUGUCUUUAGCAAUCCUGGAACAGCUGAGAGUGGACAGAGCUGCACAGAGGACCAAAGAUCCACUCUCAGCACUUUAUAUCUGACCGGCCCCAGCACCACCCCUCUUCACCCAACGUGAGGAGGGACCUGACCCCGCCUGCACAGAGGGAGUUGUGGACAUCAUUUCUGUGUCACUGGGUUUAGGAACCUUCUCACACACACACGGAUGAACACUGUCACUGGAAGAUGUCUCCAUUGCAUCAGCAGGAUGUAAGCAUUUAUACAAUAUUGCAGUUUGUGAUGUUUUAUACAUGUUUUUAUCUCUUCAUUUAAAACUAGGAGAUAUAAAAUAAACCAAUUUUCAUAAUA